GAUAGUUCCCUCCUUGAAGGAAGGAAGGGUCUGAUCCUGACUCACUUUGAGAGGGGACUGUUCCUCUCUACUAUGUGUGGAUUCAAUUUACAUCCAUAGACUGAUGAGUGCUCUUCUGAGAGAGGAGAGCCUAACCCAACUUUGGGAUGAUUCAUUUAUGUUGAUUUCCCUUUAUCUAUUCACUGACCUUCAGGGAAGGGGUGGACUACCUAGGGCCUAGCCAGAGGGCUGAGCCUCAUAGGCCUGGAAGUGGAGUGGGAAAACCAAAUGACCAUCACAGUGCAGCAGCCUGGGUGAGUGCUGGGGCCCUGCCUAGAGCCUAGGGGAUGCCCUAGGGAAGGAGCUCUAGUGACAGGGGGUUACGUGGAAUAUGCUUAGAAGCUGUUCUGUUGUGUGCUGUUUCCAAACAUCAGAGGGGGAUUACUUUCAUCCACCUCCCAUGAACAUACAUAACUUCUGAAGACAGUAAUGGGAGUUACUUACACCAUAUAUCAGGAAUAAGGGUUGGUGGAGAAGAUACUCCUUAAAGAGCCACAGAUGCAUAUAGAAAAAGGAGAAACAGGGAAAAUGGCAAAGGCAGAGAAAUGAAGAUCCUGUUUCCAUGCAAAUGUCUUUGGUAAUAAAGCAUAAGAGAAGGAGCUAAUAAUCCUGGGAAAUUCUCCAGUGCUUUCCAUCCAGGCAUUUCAUGAACAUUAAUGAAUGAAUAUUUACACACCAGUGUGAAGGCACCCAUUUUGUAUAUACCCAUUUUGCUGGGUAGAUAGACUGUCUCUACCCUAAUUUUAAGAAUAAAAUGUGCAAGUGUCUAAGGGGUCAAACUCCCAUUUUCAAAAGUGACUUAAUCCUAGAUCCUCAAAGGUAUUUAGGCACCUAAGUCUCAUUGAAACCAAUGGGAGUUACUAUGAUGGGUGCAUAAACCCCACAUUGGUUAACAAAAGAUUAACAGAAGCUUCAGAGCUCAAUUAGUCUACUUGGUUGCACCUGGAGGAUGUGUUAGGGCCAAGUAGUUAUCAGAACCAGCUGGAUGGUCUUCAUAAAGGAGUGAGGUCAGAAAGAUAAGAAGAGAUUCAGAAGAAAUUUAGGUCCCUCUUUUCUGUUGCUGGAAAAGGAACCAUAAGGAAGCUCCAGAAGCACAGCUUGUCCUGUGGUGGCCCUGACAUUAGGGGUGAGGCUCCUGGGAAGUAAUUCUAAGGGCUAGUGUUCUGGAAGAGGAAAAGGGAGCUGGGGAGAACCCAGAAGGGCUAAAAGCUCAAGCCCAGGGUGGCUAUAGUAGUUUGGGCUGGUUUGAGAUUUUCUUGAGUUCUGCUGGGGAGAAGCCUGAGAACCAGUUACCCGGAAAGAAGAGCGGGGUGGAAGAUGCUGUACUGAUGACUAGUACUGUGGUGGACUUUGGGAUACUAAUCCUACUGACUACAUGUGACUAGUCUGAAGGGCUGAAUCACUAAAAGAACCUGACCACUACAGGGCCUGAAUGGCCCUCAGAAGGCAGUGAUUGAAGGGAAGGUCAUGCAAGACUGUGCCCAGGCAUGAUGGGUCUCAUCAGCUGGACCCGUUUCCCUGUGUGUAAUGGAUGGAGAAACUUCUCAUAGUCUGCAGGCAAUCAGUCGUAAAAACUUCGCUCGGAAGAUUAAUGCAGGUCCAAAGGAGAUGCAAUACCAAUCCUUACCUAAUUCCUGGUGCGGGAAGCCAUGCCUGAACCCGGUUAGUAACAACUGUUCAAACAUAGGGUAAGAAUCAGCUGUGUGAUUCCAAAAGCCAUAUGGUGGUACCAUUUCUCUAGGUCUCCCACUCCAGGGCUGCUGUUCUUUGCACAGUUUAUUUUAAUAUUUGUUAAACAGUAGUGUCCAGAGGUUAAAGUGUGCUAGGUGCAGACCAUCACACAGAAAGAUAUGGUCCCUCCUCAAAAGAGCUUUCCAGUUGAAGACCAGAUGCAUCAAGUGGGUGUACCAAACACAGGGGACUGGGGAAGGGAGGACAAGGGUGAGAUUAUCUGAUUACACAGAGUAGCUGUUUGCAGGUUCAAUCAAUUAAAACAAAAUCAGUAUCAAUCCCUACUGGCAAUUUAUCUAGAAAUUAUCCGCUAGCAAUUUACCACAGGCAACAUGGCAGAAGUGGAUCUUGGAGAGAUCUGAAGGAAAAUAGAGUGAUUUUAUUGACUAGUUCAGAGUGUGAGUAUGUGAUAGAGUGAGUGCGCUUGUGAGAGAGAUGGACUGGCUGGCAUUGCUGGAGGAGCACAAGAGGCCUAGUCAAUGCAAUAGGACAGAAAAGUGGAAAGUGGGGGAGGGAGUAAGCUGAGAAGGGCUUUAAAGGGGAGAACAAGAAGCUGAAAGUUGUUGCAGUGCAGAAACGAGAGCCAGAGAAGACUCAAAGAGGACGGGUGAAACAAGGUCCAGGAAGAUGAUCUUAGCAGCAGUGUUUUGAAUGUAGAUGGGGGGCAGGCAGGAGAUGUGUACAUUAAAGGAAGCCAAAGAAGAGGGCAGUUAUAGUAGAACAAGGAAACAAACUUGCCAGUGGCAGCUGCUGAAGGGAUCGAAAGGUGGGUCCCUGGAAACACGAGAUGAAGAAACGAUACUUCCACCUAACUCUCUAACCCAGUCAUCUUUCUUUCCCUGGGGUGCAGCCCUCGAGCAUUCAAUGUGGCUCAUGAUCCAUCCAGAUGAUCAUCAGAGGUGUGUCAGCACCAAAGAUGAAAGCAUUCAAAGAUCAUAGUUCUUGGUAUGGAGACAGCUAAUUCUAACUCUUAUGCAUAAUUCAAUUUUAAAAACUGUACC